UGGGGAAUAUUGCGCAAUGGACGAAAGUCUGACGCAGCGACGCCGCGUGAGGGAUGAAGGUCUUCGGAUCGUAAACCUCUGUCAGAGGGGAAGAAACUACGGGGUGCUAAUCAGCUCCGUACUGACGGUACCCUCAAAGGAAGCACCGGCUAACUCCGUGCCAGCAGCCGCGGUAAUACGGAGGGUGCGAGCGUUAAUCGGAAUCACUGGGCGUAAAGCGCUCGUAGGCUGUUUGUUAAGUCAGAGGUGAAAGACCAGGGCUUAACUCUGGGGUUGCAUACGAAACUGGGUAACUAGAGUGCAGGAGAGGAAAGUGGAAUUCCUAGUGUAGCGGUGAAAUGCGUAGAUAUUAGGAGGAACACCAGUGGCGAAGGCGGCUUUCUGGACUGUAACUGACGCUGAGGUGCGAAAGCCAGGGGAGCGAACG
rnacentral:rRNA from 1 species